UCCACGCCCUAAACGAUGAAUGCUAGUCGUCGCUAAGCUAGUCUUAGCGGUGAUGCACCUAACGGAUUAAGCAUUCCGCCUGGGGAGUACGGUCGCAAGAUUAAAACUCAAAGGAAUAGACGGGGACCCGCACAAGUGGUGGAGCAUGUGGUUUAAUUCGAAGAUACGCGAAGAACCUUACCUAGCCUUGACAUUGAUUGAAUCCAGCAGAGAUACAGGAGUGCCUUUCGGGG
rnacentral:rRNA from 1 species